rnacentral:tRNA from 1 species
GCCGGUUUAGCUCAGUUGGUAGAGCAACUGAUUUGUAAUCAGUAGGUCGGGAGUUCGAGUCCCCCAAUCGGCACCA